UGUGUGACAGGCAGCCAGCCAGUCUGGCUUCCUUUCAAACACAGCUCUCACGACGAGAAAGAAAGCAGCCCAGCUUUUUUCAACCGACUGAAAGAGCAAGAAAUGUAGAGCUGCAGAAGAACCUGCUGGAUAAAGGAAUCCUUCCAGGGAACGUCUCCACGUUUGCCUCUCCUGCUAGACCUCGAGUAGCAGACGGCUAGCAGUGAUACAGCGCAGGACCUCAUCGCACCCCUUCACUGAUGCACGCAUUCAGGACAAUGGUAUUAGCGAGCUUAAGGAGGUUGCACAGACUCCAGAGAGACAUCUCUGGGAACACUGAGAUGAGCUGCGGUGAUUCAUACAGUUUCCAAGGAAACGGGAAUUUCAUGAGCCAAUCGAGAAGCAUCUGAUGAAAUGAGCCUGUGGCACUGCUUUGGGAUCGCACUCUUCCAGGGGGAAGAAACCAGCCCUAAUUCUGAGAAAAACAAACUAAAUGGCUGUAUAUGAAACAGCAAGAGCUUCACAUCUCAACUUCGCUUUGCAGGGAGAGAAAAUAUGGGCACAGGAUGGCCAGGGGAAGAGGAAGAAAAUGGCUAGGUUCACUAGCUGAUGGUAUUAUGAAAUCCACGUUUGAUUUGCUCUCCUGUUUAUUCCAUUCUUCAACUUCAAA